rnacentral:rRNA from 1 species
AGUAGCAAUACAACGUGGUGGCGACCGGCGCACGGGUGAGUAACGCGUAUGCAACCUACCUAUCAGAGGGGAAUAACCCGGCGAAAGUCGGACUAAUACCGCAUAAACAGGGGCACCGCAUGGUGAUAUUUGUUAAAGAGAUUCGCUGAUAGAUGGGCAUGCGUUCCAUUAGGUAGUUGGUGAGGUAACGGCUCACCAAGCCGACGAUGGAUAGGGAACUGAGAGGUUGGUCCCCCACACUGGUACUGAGACACGGACCAGACUCCUACGGGAGGCAGCAGUGAGGAAUAUUGGUCAAUGGGCGGGAGCCUGAACCAGCCAAGUCGCGUGAAGGAAGAAGGAUCUAUGGUUCGUAAACUUCUUUUGCAGGGGAAUAAAGUGCAGGACGUGUCCUGUUUUGUAUGUACCCUGAGAAUAAGGAUCGGCUAACUCCGUGCCAGCCGCAGC